AUUGAACGCUGGCGGCAUGCUUUACACAUGCAAGUCGAACGGCAGCGCGGGCUUCGGUCUGGUGGCGAUUGGCGAACGGGUGCGUAAUGCAUCUGCAUGUGCCUCGUAGUGGGGGUUAGCCCGGACAAAGCCGGAUUAACACUGAUUCCGACUUGAGCGUGCAAGUGGGGGUCCGAAAGCUCUCGCGCUCUCGCAGCUGCCGAUGUCGGAUUAGCUAGUUGGUGGGGUAAAGGCUUACCAAGGCGACGAUCCGUAGCUGGUCUGAGAGGACGACCAGCCACACUGGAACUGAGACACGGCCCAGACUCCUACGGGAGGCAGCAGUGGGGAAUAUUGGACAAUGGGGGCAACCCUGAUCCAGCCAUGCCGCGUGCGGGAAGAAGGCCUUCGGGUUGUAAACCGCUUUUGUUCGGGAAGAAAUCCUGUGGACUAAUACCCCGGGGGGAUGACGGUACCGAAAGAAUAAGCACCGGCUAACUACGUG
rnacentral:rRNA from 1 species